UUUAAUCGAGCCCAACCACACCGGCUGCGAGCGGUUCUGCCCAUACGUGGCCAAAAGUGCUUGCGCCUC
rfam:Mycobacterium xenopi 3993 GMX3993.contig.4, whole genome shotgun sequence.